CUCAAUCUUAGUUGUUCUUCUUGCGUUUCUCGAUGAAGAAGAAGAAGGCGAGCGAGGCGAUGGAGAAGGUGGAGAAGACGCCGGCAGCGACCUUGAUGGAGGUGGUGACGCCGGUGAUGCUGAUGACGUCGAAGGUGGCGCCGGGCAAGGUCUGGCCGUAGGCGACCUUCGUGCCGGAGGCGUCGAGAGCGUAGGCGCGCACGAAGUAGGUGGCGGUGGGGAUGUCGAGGGCGACGCGGUACUCGACCGUGCCGGUGGCGGCGUAGGCCUGCUCGGUGACCUUGAACUGGCAGGUCUUGUCCUUCUUGAGGUCGUCAUGGGUCUUGCGCCACUCCCGCCCCUUCUGGCUCACCGGCGCGUAGCACAGGCUCACCUUCACCUUCUUGUAUUCCGCGUCCGUGCCGGCCGUCGCGUUGAGGGACCAUGUCACGGUGAUCACGUCCUCGCCGCCGUGAAGAA